GAUGAACGCUGGCGGCGUGCCUAAUACAUGCAAGUCGAGCGAACAGAUGAGGAGCUUGCUCCUCUGACGUUAGCGGCGGACGGGUGAGUAACACGUGGAUAACCUACCUAUAAGACUGGGAUAACUUCGGGAAACCGGAGCUAAUACCGGAUAAUAUAUUGAACCGCAUGGUUCAAUAGUGAAAGACGGUUUUGCUGUCACUUAUAGAUGGAUCCGCGCCGCAUUAGCUAGUUGGUAAGGUAACGGCUUACCAAGGCAACGAUGCGUAGCCGACCUGAGAGGGUGAUCGGCCACACUGGAACUGAGACACGGUCCAGACUCCUACGGGAGGCAGCAGUAGGGAAUCUUCCGCAAUGGGCGAAAGCCUGACGGAGCAACGCCGCGUGAGUGAUGAAGGUCUUCGGAUCGUAAAACUCUGUUAUUAGGGAAGAACAAAUGUGUAAGUAACUAUGCACGUCUGGACGGUACCUAAUCAGAAAACCACGGCUAACUACGU
rnacentral:rRNA from 1 species